UUGAACUAUGUGUGAUCAUUUUAUCUAAUAGUUUAUGAUAUUAGAAAGGGUACACUUUUAUUUACUUAAUUAUAUCUUGAACAAGUGAUCCAGUCCAGAGACUUUGUUUCUAUUUUGGUGAAGCUUUACAAGAGAGGAUACAUUGAGAAAUACAAAGGUCCCCAAGUUUUGAAAGAAAAUUAAGGUUUUUAAGUACUCUGACAUUAGGUACCACACCAGAAGCCUUAAGCUGCCACCAAGUAAUUCCCUCACUCAAUGAUGCAAUUUGCAGGAGUUCAAGCAAUAAUUGAAAAUGUUGAAGGUGCAACCAAGAUUCAUUUAGUUGAUUUAUAUAUCAGAUUCAGUGUACGGGCUUGAUGCAAGCUCUUGGUGAACAACGUGACGUCCAAUUGAGCUUAUGAAGAUAACUGUUGUUGGACACCAAGAAAACUUCACCUUCUUUAUUUAACCGUUUUGUUGAGACACUUUUCUUUUAUAGUGUGCUUUUUGAUUUCUUUGAGGAUUGCAUGAAUAGAGACAAUCUGGUCAGAAAGACCAUUGAAGUAUUUCAUAUUGGUGAAGGUUUCUGGAAUAUGGUUGUACCUGAGGGUGUGGAAAGGUUCACGCGGAUUGUGAAGCUUGACGUAUGGAGAGCAUACUUCGCAAGGUUUAGAAUGGUGGAAAUGGAACUCAGUGAGUCAUCUUGGUAUCAGCAAAUCUGAUUCUAAAGAACUAGCCGAAGUUGUGAAUAGAAAGAGGAAAAAACAUUACAUGAACAAGCACCGACAAGAUAUUUAUGAGGAAAAGAGUGUUGCAAAAGCUUUUACAGAUUAUAAAGUAAGCAACUUCCUAUAGUUGUCAUUUAUUCUCUAAUUUGCUGAACUAAUACCAAUAUUACAAAACAAAUAAUAUCAUUGAUAGAGAAUAAUCAAUAUAUAGUGAGUAAAAUACUCAAAGAAUGCUGAAAUAUCCGCUAUAUCUUUCGACUUAUAUGAUUGCCAUUGAUGCUAUUGUUUGCUCGUGAUAUGCAGCUUAAAUGAGACCCUGGUCUUUGCUUUUAUAUCUAUUUGUGCCUUAAUUGGAUCGAGUUGGUUUUAUACAAGUAGUGAUCUCAACAGCCAACCAGUCAACUAUUUAGUCAUAUUUUUGGUAGAUGAAGAGUAAAUUAUUGAAAGAGCCAAGAUUUUUUUCGGUAUUAUAAUAAAUAUUUUUGAUAGAGCAAUGCUUUUUCUUAAAUAUUUUCUGUUGUAAGCAUUCACUGUGGGGGAUGGCAACAAACAUCCUGAAAAUGCGUAUUUAAUAACUGAGGCAUAACUAAAAGUAUGUCCAUAAGGCGGAACUUUUCCUUAAGGCAUAAUUAAAAGUUUGCCUUGAAAAGUUAAAAAAAAAAAUAUAUAUGUCUUAAGGCAAAGUCUGCCCCCUCCGGCAUAACUUUAUUUUUUCCUUAAGUACUUUAUGCCGAUCCGGCAUAAAGUUCUUAAGGAAAAACUAAAGUUAUGUCGGAGGGGGCAUAACUUUUCCUCAAGGCAUAGUUUAGUUAUGCCUUAUGGGGCAAAACUUUUCCUUAAGGAACUAUGCCUUAUGAGGCAGACUUUUAAUUAAGGCAUAACCAAAAGUAUGCCUCAUAAAACAGAAUUUUUCCUUAAGGCAAACUUUUAGUUAUGCCUUAAGGAAAAGUUCCGCCUUAUGGGACAUACUUUUAGUUAUAUUUUAUGGGGCACACUUUUAGUUAAGGCAUCACUAAAGGUAUGCCCCAUAAGGCGGAACUUUUCCUUAAGGCAUAAUUAAAAGUUUGCCUUGAAAAGUUUUAAAAAAAAAUAUAUGUCUUAAGGCAAAGUCUGCCCCCUCCGGCUUAACUUUAUUUUUUCCUUAAGUAUUGUAUGUCGGAUCCGGCAUAAAAUCCUUAAGGAAAAACUAAAGUUAUGCCGGAGGGGGCAUAGCUUUUCCUCAAGGCAUAGUUUAGUUAUGCCUUAUGGGGCAAAAUUUUUCCUUAAGGAACUA